AUGAUGAGAGAGAUAUUGGAGAUCAGUGAAGAGCUUGGGAAAGCUUUACAAAAGAAAAGACAGGAUAUAGUGAAUGCUAUUCGUUUAGUUUCAUCCACAAAGGGCCUUCUAGAAAAACUGAGAUCAGAUAAUGGUUGGGAUGAUUUUUUUACUACCGUUGUUGAGUUUUGCAUGGAUCAUGGCAUUGAGAUUCCUGAUAUGGAUGAGCCAUAUAUUUUACGUGGGGGUCGUGCUCGUCGUCAAGCUGAUAAUUUUACUAAAGAGCAUUAUUUCCGAGUGGAGAUAUUUCGAGCAACGUUGGACAGCCAAUUGAAUGAGUUAAAUUUGAAAUUCAAUGAAAAAGUGAUGGGUCUUUAAUCUGUUAGUGUCACUCUAAUACCAAAAAAUGGGUUUGCUGGUUUCAAUGCUAAAGACAUAUGCAAAAUGGUCGAGAAGUUCUAUCCGGCAGAUUUUACACAUCAAGAGCUAAUUGCAUUGGAGCGUCAAUUGAACCAUUUUGCUUCAGAUGCUUCUAAUAAUGAAGAUCUAAAGAAGCCAACAACUUUGGUUGCACUUUGUAGAUGCCUUUUUGUGACAGGACGGUAUAGGAUCUAUAACAUGGUUGAUAGGUUGAUUCGUUUGCUUAUCACUCUUCUGGUUUCCACUGCUAGUGCUGAGCGUGCAUUCUCUAGCUUGAAGAUUAUCAAGACAAGGCUGCGCAACACAAUGGAAGAUGAGUACCUCGCCAAUAGCUUGCUUAUACAGGUUGAACGGGAACUUGCAACAAAAUUCAACUUUGAAGAUAUAAUUGCUGAUUUUAAAGAUCGGAAGAAGAGGAGAGCAAAUCUUGAGUGA
rnacentral:rRNA from 1 species